UAGCUAGUUGGUGAGGUAAAGGCUUACCAAGGCGACGAUCUGUAGCGGGUCUGAGAGGAUGAUCUGCCACACUGGAACUGAGACACGGUCCAGACUCCUACGGGAGGCAGCAGUGGGGAAUUUUGGACAAUGGGGGCAACCCUGAUCCAGCCAUGCCGCGUGAGUGAAGAAGGCCUUCGGGUUGUAAAGCUCUUUCGGCCGGGAAGAAAUCGCAUGGGCCAAUACCCUGUGUGGAUGACGGUACCGGAAUAAGAAGCACCGGCUAACUACGUGCCAGCAGCCGCGGUAAUACGUAGGGUGCGAGCGUUAAUCGGAAUUACUGGGCGUAAAGCGUGCGCAGGCGGUUUUGUAAGACAGGCGUGAAAUCCCCGGGCUUAACCUGGGAACUGCGUUUGUGACUGCAAGGCUAGAGUACGGCAGAGGGGGGUGGAAUUCCACGUGUAGCAGUGAAAUGCGUAGAGAUGUGGAGGAACACCAAUGGCGAAGGCAGCCCCCUGGGUCGAUACUGACGCUCAUGCACGAAAGCGUGGGUAGCAAACAGGAUUAGAUACCCUGGUAGUCCACGCCCUAAACUGUGUCAACUAGGUGUUGGGUGGGUAAAACCAUUUAGUACCGUAGCUAACGCGUGAAGUUGACCGCCUGGGGAGUACGGCCGCAAGGUUAAAACUCAAAGGAAUUGACGGUUACCCGCACAAGCGGUGGAUGAUGUGGAUUAAUCCGAUGCAACGCGAAAAACCUUACCUACCCUUGACAUGCCAGGAACUUGCCAGAGAUGGCUUGGUGCCCGAAAGGGAGCCUGGACACAGGUGCUGCAUGGCUGUCGUCAGCUCGUGUCGUGAGAUGUUGGGUUAAGUCCCGCAACGAGCGCAACCCUUGUCGUUAAUUGCCAUCAUUUGGUUGGGCACUUUAACGAGACUGCCGGUGACAAACCGGAGGAAGGGGGGGAUGACGUCAAGUCCUCAUGGCCCUUAUGGGUAGGGCUUCACACGUCAUACAAUGGUCGGUACAAAGGGUUGCCAAGCCGCGAGGCGGAGCCAAUCCCAGAAAGCCGAACGUAGUCCGGAUUGCAGGCUGCAACUCGCCUGCAUGAAGUCGGAAUCGCUAGUAAUCGUGGAUCAGCAUGUCACGGUGAAUACGUUCCCGGGUCUUGUACACACCGCCCGUCACCAUGGGAGCGGGUUCCGCCAGAAGUAGGUAGCCUAACCGCAAGGGGGGCGCUUACCACGGCGGGGUUCGUGACUGGGGUGAAGUCGUAACAAGGUAGCCGUAGGGAACCUGCGGCUG
rnacentral:rRNA from 1 species